AGAGUUUGAUCCUGGCUUAGGAUGAACGCUGGCGGCGUGCUUAACACAUGCAAGUCGAACGAAGCAUUUACUUCGAUCCCUUCGGGGUGAAGAGUUUUAUGACUUAGUGGCGGACGGGUGAGUAACGCGUGGAUAACCUACCUGGUACGUGGGGGAUAACAGUCGGAAACGACUACUAAUACCGCAUGAGCCUACAGUGUCGCAUGACACAGCAGGAAAAACUCCGGUGGUACCAGACGGAUCCGCGUCUGAUUAGCUAGUUGGAGGGGUAACGGCCCACCAAGGCAACGAUCAGUAGCCGGCUUGAGAGAGUGACCGGCCACAUUGGGACUGAGACACGGCCCAAACUCCUACGGGAGGCAGCAGUGGGGAAUAUUGCACAAUGGGGGAAACCCUGAUGCCAGCAACGCCGCGUGAGUGAAGAAGUAUUUCGGUAUGUAAAGCUCUAUCAGCAGGGAAGAUUAUGACGGUACCUGACUAAGAAGCCCCGGCUAACUACGUGCCAGCCGCAGC
rnacentral:rRNA from 1 species